rnacentral:rRNA from 1 species
CUACGGGAUGCUGCAGUGGGGAAUUUUGCGCAAUGGGCGAAAGCCUGACGCAGCAAUACCGCGUGAGUGAAGAAGGCCUUUGGGUCGUAAAGCUCUUUUCUGAAGGAAGAUAGUGACGGUACUUCAGGAAUAAGCACCGGCUAACUCCGUGCCAGCAGCCGCGGUAAUACGGAGGGUGCAAGCGUUGUUCGGAUUUACUGGGCGUAAAGGGCGCGUAGGCGGCAUAGCAAGUUAAGGGUGAAAUCCCGGGGCUUAACUCCGGAACUGCUCUUAAAACUGCUAAGCUAGAGAUAGUCAGAGGCGGGUGGAAUUCCUAGUGUAGAGGUGAAAUUCGUAGAUAUUAGGAGGAACACCGGUGGCGAAGGCGGCCCGCUGGGGCUUAUCUGACGCUACGGCGCGAAAGCGUGGGGAGCAAACGGGAUUAGAUACCCUAGUAGUC